AUCACUGAUUGGCUGUUGCUGCAGUCACACUGAGACCUGUUAAAGACUUAGUUUAAAAAAAGCCGAGCUACAUCCGGGGCCAUCUUCAGUCCUGAUCUAUAUUUGGCCCCUGGGUCCAGAUGGCUCUAGAGGGGAAACGGAGGACCCCGCACAGCCCUCCCUCACUUAAAUCCAAUUCACUUGCCUGUCAUGGUAUCCCCUCCCUGAUGGUCUUCUUCCAGAGGAAAAGGACAAACAACAAAAACAUCUCCACACCCAUAAAGGAGUGGCCCUUCUCCUGGCCAAGACAAACCCUUCUCCGGGCACAAGAGCUCCAUUCUAUCCCACCUUCUCCAGCAGAGUGCUCACUUUCAGUCUCACCCAUUCUCCCCUUCACCCUCUCCCUGUGCACUGAUGCCUCCCUGCUGCCCCCAAGUUUGCCCAUGACUUCCCCCCCCCUCGCAAUCAUUCUAUAGUUUCCCUCCCUUUUGUGGCUAAGCUCCUGGAUAAGGCCUUCUGCAUAGGUGCCUCCAUUUCUCCUUCUCACCUUCUCAGUGCUCUGCAAACCAACUUCCAACCUCCUCAUUCAGCAGAAACCUUUCUCCCCACAGUUACCAGUGACCUCUAAAUGGCCAGAUCUUGUGGCCUUUUCUCAGUCCUCCUCCCUUUGGAGCUCUCUGCAACCUCCAACCUUGUGGGUCACUCUCUGACAUUCUCCUCUCUCUAGGUUUGGGGACAUCAGUCUCUUGGUUCUUCUUCCACCAUUCUGACCUAUUUGCAGCUCCCGUGGACUCAAUUAUUGGCCCUUUGCUGACCGGCAAAUCUACUUCCCCAGUCCUAACCUUUCUGCUGACCUCCAACCUCCAGCCUCCAGCCUCCAACUGGAACAGAUGUCCCAUACACACCUUGAACUCAACAAGUCCAAAAUUGAACUCAGUAGUUUUUCCCCACUUCCAACUCCUCCUCCUUUCUAAAUUGCCUUACAGCCGUCCAGGGUGCUACCAUCCUUCUAUCCUCCCAGGCCGGAGUAGACUCCUCACUAUUUCCUCACCCCUCAUAUCCAAUCUGUAAUUGGAUUUUUCUGAUUUAUGGCCCCUUCUCUUCUCUGACACUGCACCCACUCUGGUGCAGUCCCUCAUCGCCUCACCCCUAGACCAUUGUGAUAGUGGGCUGCCCAAGGCUGCCCUCCAGUCCAUUCUAGACCCGGCUACCAAAGUUGUUCGAGUUUGUUCCGAAAAGGAUCAUGCCGUCAGAGAGGUGAUGCCCUGAGAUGGCCCCGGAUGCAGUGAGAGACCUUUUUAAGCUAAGAUUUUUACCAGGUCUCAGUUUGACUGAGGCAACAUUCGCCCAGUGAGUCAUCAAGGUGAGAAACGAGGCAGAUGAGUGAUUAGGUGAUUAGAAAUGAAGCAGAGACAGUCUCUUUUAAUCAAAAUAAAUAAAUAAAUAAAUAAAUCUGGGGAGGGGAAGACACUGAGAGCUUCUGGCCAAAACAGGAACAGUUCCUAGUCACGUCUACUCUGGGCUUGACCUGGGAUUACUGUUGGUCAAUCAACAAGAGCCAGAGUGAUCUGGCUUUAAGAUGUAGUCCUAACCUAAAAAGCCCAAGGUUCUUUGCAAGGUUCCAGAGAUCGAAAUUUAUAUUCCUUUGGGCAGAGUACCCAAAGAUAAGGGUAUAAUACCCUACAUGGACAGAAGGAAAAGACGGAGAGGAGAGAAGAAAGAAAAGUGUUUCCCAACUCUUCCUGGAGCACAUUUCCCCUCCCCCAGGCAAUAAACUCCAUUAAAGUCCUUUCUAAUCUGGCUCCUUACUCCAUCUUCAAUCCACACACUUUUAUUUUUUAUUAAAGCUUUUUAUUUUCAAAACGUAGGCAUGGAUAAUUUAUCAACAUUAACCCUUGCAAAACCUUGUGUUCCAAUUUCCCCCCUUCCCCUCACCCUCCUCCCCUAGAUGGCAAGUAACCCAAUAUACCACAUGCAUUAUUACCCGAUAAUAAUAACUAAUAUAUAGUAUUUUACAAUUGACUGAUUUUAUCCUCUUCUUUAUCUUAUGGUUGAGGAAACUGAUACAGAGAUUUAGUGGCUUGUAUAAUGUCACACUUCUACCAAGGGCCUAAGCUGGAUUUGAAUUCAGGUCUUCCUAAUACCAGAACCAGUUCUCUGUCUGUCUCUGUGUCUCUUUGUCUCUUUCUCUCUCUCAAAAUCAAGGGUAAGUAACUUAUCCAGGUCACAACAGCCACAAAGUGUCUGAGGCCGGAUUGGAGGCUGGACCAGGCCAGUGCUCUAUCCACUGUGCUCCCUAGCCAUCUGCAGAGCCAGUUGUCUAGACAUUAACUUAAAUAUGGCUCGUCAGCCAUCUGCUAUAUUUUGAGUCCCCUGUUUUCCGUCCCCUUUCCUCCUCCCAGAGAAUCAUUGAUAUAACAGUUUGUUCUUUUUCUUUUUCUCUUCCUCUUUCUCCCUUUUCUCCCCCCUUCCCCAUCCCUUUCUUCUCUUUUUUCUUCACUGAUCUCCCUAUUGCCAAGCUGGAAGGGCCAGACCCAUCCCCAAAUCCGUCCGUUGCUGCUCAGGGCACAAGGUUUGACCAGCUCCAAGCCUGAUGUGGACGAGCUCUUCCCUAGACAUCAUGAUGGCUCCUGCUUGCCUUCUCCCCCUGCUGGAGGUUCGUGGGAUUGAUCCCAGACUCGUGAAGGUCCAACUGGCUUAGCCCAGGGCAGUUCAGAGACUCCUUUUUCUUCACUUCCUCAGUAGCAAAGACGACUGGCAUGUGCUGCCCAUUCCCCAUCUACAAAGAAUAUUUUUUUAAACAGAAAAUAAGAGAAAAUUGAAGAAAAAUCAAUUAGUAAAACCAAUUAAAUAGAAUCCAAAAAUAUAUGCAACCUUCCCCUUUUCUCCACCUCCUAUCUUGGCAAGUGUAGGGUUGUGGGUGGGUGGGAGGAGCAGUGCAAAGAAAUUACAAAAACCUGAGUUCAAAUCCAGUCUCAUUAUUAGUUUUGUGAAGAUGAACAAGUCACUUCAUUCUGUUUGCCUCAGUUUCCUCAUCUGUAAAAUGAACUGAAGAAGGAAACGGCCAACCACUCCAGCAUCUUUGCCAAGAAAACCCCAUGAUAAAUAUCGACAGGCCAUGGUUCAUGGGGAGACUUUGCAAGUCAUCGAGUCUCUUUUCACAGAGGCCUUUCCAAGUUUUGUCAUUUCCUAAAGCCCCGUGAGUUCUAUUACAGUCAGCUACCACAAUUUAUUUCACUGUGGAAAGCCUUUCAUUUUUCAAAGGUUCCCUUGGUGGGCCUGGCCAGCUGAUGGGCACCCUGCAAGUCAGGGUUUACCCCUUGUCGAGAUGCCACGUGAGCCAUGUUCUUGACAGAUAUCUGGAAAAUGGGUUUUUUUCAACUGAGCUGCUUCUAGACCAGCCCUAUGGAUCUUGUUUUUUUAAUCUGUGCUUUCUACUUCCCCUCCUCACCCCCUAAAGGAUAAAAUCUUUGUAUCAAAUGCAUACAAUCCAAUACAACGAAUCCCCUGCGUCAGCCCCGUCCAAAAAUGUAGGCCUCAUUCUCUUUUAAGUCUCUCUGGCAGACAAGACAUGCUUCAUCUUCAGUCCUUUGGACUCUCCAUUUAUUAUCUCAUCAACUGCCUUCUGAAGUCUUUCAAAAACGGGUUUUCUCUACAUUGUUGUAAGGAUGUACAUUGUUCUCCUUUGUGUGCUCAUAUCCCUCAUCUUCUCCUCAAAGAGUUCUUCCCAAGGUGCUCUGAAACUGCCUCCAUCAUUUCUCAUGGGGAAAAAAAAGUCUUGUUCCAUUCAAAUAGGGUUGUUUCGGGCACUGGGGUCUUGUGCAUGACCACAUCACUCAAAAUGGAGGCGUCUACGUAUGAGACAGCAGGGAUCCACUUCUGGAAGAAGACAUCCCCUGUGUGUGGAAACAGCCUCUUUCCACUGAUUGGGCAGCUACAACCGGCUGUGUCUUUAAGGAAGUGGAGUCCCCGGUUCCAGGAGUCCGAGCCAAAAUUCCAGUCUGUAUGCUACUAUCGACCCGGCAGAGAAGCCCCAAGACACCAGGCGACACUUAAUUCUAGCAGCAUUUUUCAGAAACAACAAGGUCAUCCCACUACAUCAAGACUUCCUAUGAGGACAUAUUCUGAUGGAAGUGGAUUUCUUUGACAAAGAGACCUAACUGAGUUUCAAUUGAUAAAUGAUGGACAGAAGCAGCUACACCCAAAGAAAGAACACUGGGAAAUGAAUGUGAACUAUCUGCAUUUUUGUUUUUCUUUCCAAGUUGUUUUUACCUUCUGAAUCCAAUUCUCCCUGUGCAACAAGAGAACUGUUUGGUUCUGCAAACAUAUAUUAUAUCUAGGACAUACUGCAACAUAUCUAACAUAUAUAAGACUGUUUGCCAUCUAGGGGAGGGGGUGGAGGGAAGGAGGGGAAAAAUCGGAACAGAAACGAGUGCAAGGGAUAAUGUUGUAAAAAAUUACCCUGGCAUGGAUUCUGUCAAUAUAAAGUUAUUAUUAAAUAAAAUAAAAUUUUAAAAAAG